CAUCACGGUAGCAAACUUAUAGGGUUUACUACAAGAACAUUCCUCAAUUUCAACUCUUCGUCAGAUUAUUGAGAUGGCAAAAAACAUCAUCUUCUUCUUACUUGCUGCAAUGGUCGCUAAUACGAUUCUCGCACAGCCCCUGAAAUUCGGAGAUGGUCAACUCACUUUAACGGACUCUCAGGAAGAUUCAUCUGCCGAGUCUACAAGUCAAGAAAUUUCAGGCGAUCCUUCAGUUCCAACAAAUGGAAUCAGAAGCGAAGUGAAGACGAAAAUUGGCCUAGUUCCUAUUAUUGAAGAUGGAAACGACCAAGUUCCCAAUGAGUUUCGUCCCCCAAUCAACAUACCCGGCCAAACAACAACAACUCUUAAACCUGUGAGAAUCGACAUAGUAAAGGUAGCAGAGAAGAUCGGCAAAGAAGUGAGAAGAUUCUGGCGCAGAGUAUUCGGCUAGCUGAAGUUGGCUUGAAAAAGUAACUUGUCGCCGACUGCAUGUGGACUCGGAUCUCAUAGUUCGCCCGGCACAGCGGAGUGGUACUUCAGUCAAUGACAAGCUUACUUCAUAAGUUUAAGAGAAAAUUUUGAAAUCUAUCUUGCUUACUACCAAUGUUUCUCGUUAGAAUAAAUAGCAUACAAUAUAGAGUUACACAAUGUGGUUGAUAUUGUACCUCAUUGUAUGCGAUUGCUAAUUAAACCUAUAUAUAAAUGUGUAGAUAUAAAGUAUACAUACUUUGUAUCGUAGAAGAAGUGUGUGUUUAAAACUGCUGGAAAUUACAUACUUGUCAAUUUUUCAUUUUUGGCCCUGUAAUUUAGCUCUCCAUUUAUAUAUAGCGAUAUACAUAAUUACAAAUCAA